AGGAGGCAGCAGUGGGGAAUAUUGGACAAUGGGCGCAAGCCUGAUCCAGCAAUGCCGCGUGAGUGAAGAAGGUCUUCGGAUUGUAAAGCUCUUUUGGCGGGGACGAUGAUGACGGUACCCGCAGAAUAAGCCCCGGCUAACUUCGUGCCAGCAGCCGCGGUAAUACGAAGGGGGCUAGCGUUGCUCGGAAUGACUGGGCGUAAAGGGCGCGUAGGCGGAUUGUACAGUCAGACGUGAAAUUCCUGGGCUCAACCUGGGGGCUGCGUUUGAUACGUAUAGUCUUGAGUGAGGAAGAGGGUUGUGGAAUUCCCAGUGUAGAGGUGAAAUUCGUAGAUAUUGGGAAGAACACCGGUGGCGAAGGCGGCAACCUGGUCCUUUACUGACGCUGAGGCGCGAAAGCGUGGGGAGCAAACAGGAUUAGAUACCCUGGUAGC
rnacentral:rRNA from 1 species